rnacentral:rRNA from 1 species
GAUGAACGCUGGCGGCGUGCCUAAUACAUGCAAGUCGAGCGAACGGACGAGAAGCUUGCUUCUCUGAUGUUAGCGGCGGACGGGUGAGUAACACGUGGAUAACCUACCUAUAAGACUGGGAUAACUUCGGGAAACCGGAGCUAAUACCGGAUAAUAUUUUGAACCGCAUGGUUCAAAAGUGAAAGACGGUCUUGCUGUCACUUAUAGAUGGAUCCGCGCUGCAUUAGCUAGUUGGUAAGGUAACGGCUUACCAAGGCAACGAUGCAUAGCCGACCUGAGAGGGUGAUCGGCCACACUGGAACGGAGACACGGUCCAGACUCCUACGGGAGGCAGCAGAAGGGAAUCUUCCGCAAUGGGCGAAAGCCUGACGGAGCAACGCCGCGUGAGUUAUAAAGGUCUUCGGAUCGUAAAACUCUGUUAUUAGGGAAGAACAUAUGUGGAAGUAACUGUGCACAUCUUGACGGUACCUAAUCAGAAAGCCACGGCUAACUACGUG